UACGAAGGGUGCAAGCGUUAAUCGGAAUUACUGGGCGUAAAGCGCGCGUAGGCGGCUAAGUAAGUCGGGUGUGAAAGCCCCGGGCUCAACCUGGGAACUGCAUCCGAUACUGUUUGGCUAGAGUAUGAGAGAGGGAGGUAGAAUUCCACGUGUAGCGGUGAAAUGCGUAGAUAUGUGGAAGAAUACCGGUGGCGAAGGCGACCUCCUGGCUUAAUACUGACGCUGAGGUGCGAAAGCGUGGGGAGCAAACAGG
rnacentral:rRNA from 1 species